AUACGGAGGGUGCAAGCGUUAAUCGGAAUUACUGGGCGUAAAGCGUACGUAGGCGGUUAUUUAAGUCAGAUGUGAAAGCCCCGGGCUUAACCUGGGAACUGCAUUUGAUACUACUUAACUAGAGUGUGGUAGAGGUAAGUGGAAUUCCGGGUGUAGCGGUGAAAUGCGUAGAUAUCCGGAGGAACAUCAGUGGCGAAGGCGGCUUACUGGACCAACACUGACGCUGAGGUACGAAAGCGUGGGGAGCAAACGGGAUUAGAAACCCCUGUAGUCC
rnacentral:rRNA from 1 species